CCUACGGGAGGCUGCAGUCGAGAAUCAUUCACAAUGGGGGAAACCCUGAUGGUGCGACGCCGCGUGGGGGAAUGAAGGUCUUCGGAUUGUAAACCCCUGUCAUGUGGGAGCAAAUUAAAAAGAUAGUACCACAAGAGGAAGAGAAGGCUAACUCUGUGCCAGCAGCCGCGGUAAUACAGAGGUCUCAAGCGUUGUUCGGAAUCACUGGGCGUAAAGCGUGCGUAGGCGGUUUCGUAAGUCGUGUGUGAAGGCCGCGGGCUCAAGCCGCGGACUGCCUAUGAUACUGCGAGACUAGAGUAAGUGAGGGGGGAGCGGAAUUCUCGGUGUAGGAGUGAAAUGCGUAGAUAUCGGGAGGAACACUCGUGGCGAAGGCGAGUACCUGGACAUUAACUGACGCUGAGGCACGAAGGCGAGGGGAGCGAAAGGGAUUAGAUACCCCUGUAGUC
rnacentral:rRNA from 1 species